CAUAUUUUCAUCGCCAGAUUCAUUGUAAGAUUAAGUCGCGAGCAAUCGGUGCCUAUUUCAUCGGUAAAAUAAUCGAUUGAUUGUGUAUUUGUUGCUUAUUUUGAUCGUCUGAUUAUUGAACAGACGAAAUCGGGUCCUUGUGUUUAUGAACAUAGAGUAAAGCUCGAAUAAAGCAAAUUUGUGACAUACAGAACAUCCCGGAAAAUAGUUGUCUGGUAGUAAGCGGUUAAUAAAGAAUCAUGAAGCUCGAGACGUCCCCGAUCGAUUACAAAGUGUCUACGGCAUUCCUAGAAUGAUCAGACGUGCCACCCGAUUCGAAAAACAGAUUGAACCCCAUAUUUCGUCGGAUUCCAUGAUUUUCAACACCGAUUAACCUAUAGAUUUAGUAUGAUUUGCUAAAUGAUGAAAAUAAAUAAACCGA